CCCGACUGCUAUCGGAUUGAGAUUUAGCCAUGCGAGUCGAACGCUCCCCUGUUGCGGGGGGCGUGGCGUACGGCUCAGUAACACGUAGUCAACCUGCCCUGAAGACACGGACAACCCCGGGAAACUGGGACUAAUCCGUGAUAGGUCAUCUCAUCUGGAAGGAGAGAUGGCUUAAAGGGUCGCGCGGGCUUCUUCCGCGCGUUCGCUUCAGGAUGGGACUGCGUCCGAUCAGGCUGUUGGCGGGGUAAUGGCCCACCAAACCUGUAACCGGUACGGGCCUUGAGAGAGGUGGCCCGGAGAUGGACACUGAGAGAAGGGUCCAGGUCCUACGGGGCGCAGCAGGCGCGAAACCUUCGCAAUGCGCGAAAGCGUGACGAGGUUAAUCCGAGUGGCCUCCGCUGAGGAGGUCUUUUGUCAGCUGUAAAUAGGCGGGCGAAUAAGGGGAGGGCAAGCCUGGUGU
rnacentral:rRNA from 1 species